UCCAGAAGUGGUGACACGCAUCUGUAAUCUCCGUUAUGGAGAGGCUGAAGCUGGUGGAUUGCUUGAUUACAGGAGUUCUGAGCUACAGUAGAUCUAAGGCCAAUCAGGUGUCCUCACUAAGCCCAGAACCAAAAUGAUGAUCCCCUUGAAGUGGGGGGGCAUUAGACUGCCCAAGGAGGGGCAAAUCAGCUCAGGUUGGAAAUGGAGCCUCUGUGCCAAUCAGCAGUGGAAUUGGGCCAAUGAGCAACUGUUGCACUUCCAGCCUGGUUGACACAGGGAGAUCCAGUUUCAA
ensembl:misc_RNA Metazoa_SRP Metazoan signal recognition particle RNA